UACGUAGGGAGCGAGCGUUGUCCGGAUUUAUUGGGCGUAAAGAGCGCGUAGGCGGCUCGGUAAGCCGGAUGUGAAACCUCCAAGCUCAACUUGGAGCGGCCAUUCGGAACUGCUGUGGCUAGAGUCUGGUAGGGGAACACGGAAUUCCUGGUGUAGCGGUGAAAUGCUUAGAUAUCAGGAGGAACACCAGUGGCGAAGGCGGUGUUCCGGGCCAGUACUGACGCUGAGGCGCGAAAGCGUGGGGAGCGAACAGG
rnacentral:misc_RNA from 1 species